rnacentral:rRNA from 1 species
AUUGAACGCUGGCGGCAGGCCUAACACAUGCAAGUCGAGCGGAGCGGCGGACGGGUGAGUAAUGCCUAGGAAUGUGCAUGGUAGUGAGGGAUAAGGUCCGGAAACGGGAGCUAAUACCGCAUACUAACAGAAGAGCAUAGGUCGGAUUAGAUAGUUGGUGGGGUAAAGUCCUACCAAGGCGACGAUCCGUAACUGGUCUGAUAGGAUGAUCAGUCACACUGGAACUGAGACACGGUCCAGACUCCGACGGUAGGCAGCAGUUGGUAAUAUUGGACAAUUGGCGAAAGCCUGAUCCAGCCAUGCCGCGUGUGUGAAGAAGGUCUUCGGAUUUUAAAGCCCUUUAAGUUGGGAGGCGUUACCAACAGAAUAAGCACCGGCUAACUUCGUGCCAGCAGCCGCGGUAAUUC